CCUACGGGAGGCAGCAGUGAGGAAUAUUGGUCAAUGGACGAGAGUCUGAACCAGCCAAGUAGCGUGAAGGAUGACGGCCCUAUGGGUUGUAAACUUCUUUUAUAUGGGAAUAAAAUGUUCCACGUGUGGGAUUUUGUAUGUACCAUAUGAAUAAGGAUCGGCUAACUCCGUGCCAGCAGCCGCGGUAAUACGGAGGAUCCGAGCGUUAUCCGGAUUUAUUGGGUUUAAAGGGAGCGUAGGUGGCUUGUUAAGUCAGUUGUGAAAGUUUGCGGCUCAACCGUAAAAUUGCAGUUGAAACUGGCAGUCUUGAGUACAGUAGAGGUGGGCGGAAUUCGUGGUGUAGCGGUGAAAUGCUUAGAUAUCACGAAGAACUCCGAUUGCGAAGGCAGCUCGCUGGACUGCAACUGACACUGAGGCUCGAAAGUGUGGGUAUCAAACAGGAUUAGAUACCCCAGUAGUC
rnacentral:rRNA from 1 species